AUUGAACGCUGGCGGCAUGCCUUACACAUGCAAGUCGAACGGCAGCACGGGAGCAAUCCUGGUGGCGAGUGGCGAACGGGUGAGUAAUGUAUCGGAACGUACCUUUCAGUGGGGGAUAACGUAGCGAAAGUUACGCUAAUACCGCAUAUUCUGUGAGCAGGAAAGCAGGGGAUCGCAAGACCUUGCGCUGAUUGAGCGGCCGAUAUCAGAUUAGCUAGUUGGUGAGGUAAAGGCUCACCAAGGCGACGAUCUGUAGCGGGUCUGAGAGGAUGAUCCGCCACACUGGAACUGAGACGCGGUCCAGACUCCUACGGGAGGCAGCAGUGGGGAAUUUUGGACAAUGGGCGCAAGCCUGAUCCAGCCAUGCCGCGUGAGUGAAGAAGGCCUCGGUUGUAAGACGUCUUUCUAGUCCGGAGGAAACGACAUGGUUAAGUACCUACGUGUGG
rnacentral:rRNA from 1 species